UACGUAGGGCGCAAGCGUUGUCCGGAAUUAUUGGGCGUAAAGAGCUCGUAGGUGGUGUGUCGCGUCUGCCGUGAAAGCCCGGGGCUCAACCCCGGGCCUGCAGUCGAUACGGGCAGACUAGAGUGCGGUAGGGGAGACUGGAAUUCCUGGUGUAGCGGUGAAAUGCGCAGAUAUCAGGAGGAACACCGGUGGCGAAGGCGGGUCUCUGGGCCGUAACUGACGCUGAGGAGCGAAAGCGUGGGGAGCGAACAGG
rnacentral:rRNA from 1 species